UUGCUUCUCAAGGAGAAGUGGGGCAUUCUGGGUAAUGGCCACAGCCAAGCUCAAUGUCAGAGCUGCCAGUUGCUGCCACAUCAGAUAUUACUUGCUGUUAUUCAAAACUCCAGCUUUCCAUAUGGGAAAGUGGAACCGGGCAGCGAAAGUAAAUUAACAGAAACUGUCAGCAGUUCAGAGCAGCACAGACAGCAGUGUGACAGAGGUGGGUGACUUCCCAUCAGAAAAUAUGUGGGUCUUUUUAAAAGUGGCCUGGCUGGAAUUUAAACCAAAGUUUUGCUGAUGUCAACAUCUCAUGCUCUUUCCUUGUAUUUUCUGUGUCAAACUUGUAUGGAAACAACUGAGAUCUGACUCCAGAUGGAGGUCAUGCGGGGGAGAAAAUCCCUGGAUUUCCACAGUGCUGCCACCCCGCUCACCAAUUGGUCACCAGUAUGGAGGCUGACAUCAUGAAGGUCCCGAGUCUGCUGCAGGCAGUGGCCUUGGUCCCUUUCUGAGCCAAAGAGCAGAGUGAAGCUGCAGCCAAACUGAAGGUAAAUAACAGUCAUGGCAGGGCGCGGGGAGAAUCUGUACAGCUGAAACCAUCCUUGAGGAUCCAUGCCACGGUUGGUGAGGGCAGCAGCAGGGGAUUAGGAUGACUGGGUGUUUUCUCUUACAGGAAGAAAAAAAUGAAGGAAGGAGAGGACAGCAUAGAGCUAGGAGGUAGGAAAUAAAUACAUGAGAGAGUGAGAGAAAAAGAGUACGGAAGAGUCAGAAAAGGGAGGUAGAAAAAUCCUUUUUGUCUCCAAUCAGUUACACGUGUCGCGCUUGCUCUCUGUCUGAUCUAGUGCGACCUCUCCAGGCUUUGGACGGCAUUUUUAUCUCUGCUAGGUUGGUGUUAAAUGAGUACCACACU
rnacentral:lncRNA from 1 species